GGCAAAGCAAAUAGCUGUUUAAUUUUUUCUCUCUGACAAUCAGAAUCAAGCUCAGUUCUUCAAGACUAUUAUGAUUUCUUCAGCUUUCCAGAUUUUACUCCCUCUGAUGAGCACUAUCAAAAAACAAUGAAUUCCUCAUGGAUUGAGGGGGACUAAGAUCUGCAUCUAUGCUAUGAAUCACCCAGCAGAUACAUGGAUAUAGAACAAAGAAAGUUAAUGAAGAUCUCCAGAGAUGGUCAUCAUUAUAUUUCCACUUCCUAAUUAAGGCUUAAGUGUUUCCUUUUGCUUUGAAGAAACAGAUACGCAGCUUCUUAUCAGGAUCACGUACUUAUAUAAGACAAAAAGAGCUCCAACAUGUUACUUCUGGAAAUGCCCACACAUUUACAUUUUCCGAAGCUAUAUCCUCAGAACCACUCCCAGUUUACACCGAUGCUGAUAUUGUCCUAAGAAAGCUAUACUGAUUUGCACCAGACAAUCUGUUUUGGUCUUCGAAUUCAACAGGGUCAUUCUUGCUUAUCACUUUUAAAACUGGGCUGUGAGAGGAAGGAAUUGGAAGAACAGGGCCUCUGAUUCUCUAACAUUUUCUACAACCAGAGGUAAUCUUAGAUGUGGAGUGAAUGAAGUGAAGUCUGUUAUCAAUCCAUAACAUCUGCUGCAGUGUCAAGUGAUGAAAUGGGUGACUCCAGAGCCCAAGACAGCUGGGAUGGCUUUCUUAAUGCAGUAGGGACAAAAAAAGAAAAAAAGAAGCAAAACAAAACAAAACAAAACAGGAAAAAAAAAAAAAAAGAAUAAGAAGAAAGAAAUCUGACCACUAUGAACAAUGCAUUUAAUUCCCUCUUGUAUAUGUGGGAGAGAGGGCAUGCAGACUUGUGGAACUGGUUCCAAUCUCACUGUUGGUGAUGAGGUGGAGAAGAUGCGUUGCUUCUUACCAGGAGACUGGAAGAACCCAAAUGAAGAUGAAUAGAUUGUCUUACUUCAGUACGAAUCAUAGACUGUCUUGGGCUGGAAGGGACACUAAAGAUCAUCUAAUUCCAACCUUCUUGUUGAGAACAAAUUGCUGCAGACUGCAAAAAGGACAGAUUCUCUUGGGAUUCCUCAAGCAUAUUGCCUCUUCAGGACCCAGUCUGUAUCAGAGCUGGUAAUAUGGUUAUGUAAUGAGAAGCUGAGAAAGACCUUGGACAAAAUUGUCUCUUGUCUCCAAUAGCCAACAUUUGGAGUAACUCCAGUGUCAGCAGAGAAGCAAUCCUGACAGUUUUUUUUAUGGACUGAACCAGAGAUGAAAACGUUAUAUGGAAAAUCAAGCAUAUGUAUCAUAGAAUCACAGAAUCAUUAAGGUUGGAAAAGACUACUAAGAUCAUUUUGUCCAACCAUCAAUCCACCACCAUCAUGCCCACUAAACCAUGUCCCUCAGUGCCCAUAGUAUAAAGAAGUUUUACCAUGAUUUAAAUCCCCUUAUCCACCUGGUUUUUCUGUGGUAGGAGUAUCAUGAGGGAAAAAAAUGACAAAUGAGUCAUGGCACUUGUGUGGAAUCCUUUCUAAAAGAUCUCUCCUGACAAAUAGAGUCUAAAAAAAUCUCUCCUCUCAUCAUAUUAUGAAGGUUGCCUGCAAAAGAUGACAGAAAUGUGAUGAGACGUGUCUUCAGGGCAUUCUGCAACUCUGGGAACACCACAAGGUUUUUACACAAGCUGUGCAUGAAGGCUCACUAUGUGUCUCAUAGUUUCCAAAUUGCUGGCAUAUAACCUGGGAUGUACAGAAAUUUGUAGCCCUAGUUUUAAGUAGGGAUCUGAGCCAAUGUGAAAUCGCUUCUCUCUAUUUAACAGUUAUGCACUUGAAAAAGGUGACUAUGUUGGAAGAUGGUUUUUCUUUUCAGUGUUGCUGGAAAUAAACAGUUUCCUUCACUCAGAUCUUCCCUUAGUUUAGCUGGCCCCGUGUCUUGGAUGUGUGCUUUAUAAAGUGUGCUAAGAUAUUUAUGUAAUUCUUUUGGCUAUAAAACAGCCUAGGUGUUCUUUUUGUACAUAAAUAUUUUGGGAAAUGAAGUUGUGAAGGGUCUGAAGCACAGAUCUUACGGGGAUUGGCUGAAGGAACUAAAAAACCUAAAAAACCUUCACACUCAAUAGAAAUGUAUGUUAAAAGGACAGUUCCAAAAUUUAGAAGCUAGGAUGACUGUCUCUCUUCAGUUGCAGAGGCAAAGAAUGAACACGUUUGGAUGGGUAGAAAAAGGUUAAACGUGUAAAUAGAAUCUUUUGUCUUAAGCACCAGAGAGGUGCCCAAAGUGAGGUUGAACCUCAGCACAGUUUGAAUGCAGUGCACUCUGGGCUGUUCCCUGCAUAGUCCUCAGUGAAAGCACUUUUAGAUCUCCUGGAAAGGCAAACACAACAUAAAUGUCAGACUUCUAUUAAAUAUGC
ensembl:lncRNA